CCUACGGGAGGCAGCAGUGGGGAAUAUUGCACAAUGGGGGAAACCCUGAUGCAGCGACGCCGCGUGAGUGAAGAAGUAAUUCGUUAUGUAAAGCUCUAUCAGCAGGGAAGAAAAUGACGGUACCUGAGUAAGAAGCCCCGGCUAACUACGUGCCAGCAGCCGCGGUACUACGUAGGGGGUAAGCGUUAUCCGGAUUUACUGGGUGUAAAGGGAGCGUAGACGGCAGUGCAAGUCUGGAGUGAAAGGCGGGGGCUCAACCCCCGGACUGCUCUGGAAACUGUACGGCUGGAGUGCAGGAGAGGUAAGUGGAAUUCCUAGUGUAGCGGUGAAAUGCGUAGAUAUUAGGAGGAACACCAGUGGCGAAGGCGGCUUACUGGACUGUAACUGACGUUGAGGCUCGAAAGCGUGGGGAGCAAACAGGAUUAGAUACCCGAGUAGUC
rnacentral:rRNA from 1 species